ACCCCCUCAAUGCUUGAAAAGCUCAAAUCGGCAGAAAACAUGAAGAAAAAGCUUUGCACCACGUCAACUGAUUGAUUCCCUUUGUAGUUCUGAAAGAGUCAGGGUUAUUCAGGAAAUGGCUGGCCAUGAUAAUUAUGAAACCAACCUGUCACAGUUUCAACGGUUGUUUGUCUUUGUGUAGUUUUUGUUUCUUCCUCCAGAUCUCCUCAGUUAUUCUUUUCCCUCCCAUCCUUAUCAUUGAUUUUCUUCCAACUGUGUUGAUUUGUUGAUUUGUUAAUUGUGUCCUCAUUUGUAUUCAAGCCCUCCGUUUGUUAUCCGUUUGUCUGUAGGUCCCGUCCUGUAGCUAAGCAAGUCUAGUAAGUGUCCUAGUGAAUGAUUCAACUUCUG
ensembl:lncRNA